rnacentral:lncRNA from 1 species
CUAGCAACUUCAUUUCAUAGUUAUCAUAAUCUUAUUUUUCAUACUCCCUUCAAUUUGGGGUCCAUCUGUCUCAUCGGCCUAAUCAAAAUAUUCAACAUCUGUUUUUUGGGGUCAUUUCGAGUUUUCACUCAAAUCACAAAUUUACGGGGUAUUCAGUGGUCACUUACAUCCUAACUUUAGCAUAAGUCUUGCCAAUAUUUUCUGGCUAGAAAGCUCAGACAAAGGCUUAUGCUAAUUGUUUCGCAGAUCGGCUCUCUCUGGCUUUCUACUAUAUCUUUGGCUACUUAUCUGAAUCACAGUUCAGAUGCUUAUCAAUCACAUGCUUUGGAACCAGGAG